CGAUUCAACACUGAGAUUUUGUUUGUUUUCGCCAGAACACGCGCAUGCGCAUUCGUUAUUCAGCACUGUCUCCCAGGACUGUGGCACCUUCUUCCAAUAGAAUGGUCCAAAAGGGCACCGUCCUUGUGUUACGUCAUAUGCACCUACCUUAUCCAAGGCUUUGUUACCGACGGUGACGUCAUGACUACUGCACGUGGAUGAUAGGUUGGGACUGGUCGACCGUGACAUCUUUGCCACAUCCUCCAUGUUCUUCCUAUCAGCAGCACCCUCGUCACUUUCGCGGGCACCUGCAUCACUCACACCCUGUGCACCCGAGUUGACUUUCUUCCCUCCUUGGGCAAGACCUGCUUCAACGCUUUGAUUUGCUCCCUGGGCUGCUUCCAGUUUAGGGGUUAUCUCAGGUUUUUCCUCAUCACCGAAAGAAGUCUCAACACAAGUACUGUCAGGUUCUUUGAAAGAAGUCUCUUCACUCGCCAUUUCCGUCGCUCCCUGGGCUGCCUCGAGUUUUGGAGUUAUCUCGGGUUUUUCCUCAGCACCGAAAGAAGUCUCAACACAGGUAUUGUCAGUUUUUUUAAAGGACGUUUCUUUAUUCGCCGUGUCUCUAAAUGAAGUA